rnacentral:rRNA from 1 species
GAUCCUGGCUCAGGAUGAACGCUAGCGGCAGGCCUAACACAUGCAAGUCGAGGGGCAGCACGGUGUAGCAAUACACUGGUGGCGACCGGCGCACGGGUGCGUAACGCGUAUGCAACCUACCCAUAACAGGGGGAUAACACUGAGAAAUUGGUACUAAUACCCCAUAACAUCAGGACCGGCAUCGGUUCUGGUUGAAAACUCCGGUGGUUAUGGAUGGGCAUGCGUUGUAUUAGCUGGUUGGUGAGG